GUUUGGACACGCCCAGUCUUGCAUCCGGGACUUUUCGAGAUCUGCACCUGCUGUUAGGCUACAGUGAAAGUAUUGACAUGGGUGCACGGAGCCAAGACAGCACAUGCCUGAAACAUCACACCAGAUUGUUCUGCAUGGAUCAGUCUGAGAAACUCAAAAGGUUGACUCUAUAUGAGCAACGUGGUUCAAGGUGGAUCUUCACAAAAGAUCUUUCACAAAAGAGAAAAAAAAGUGCCUGGUGCACAAUACGGCAACCCUUCUUACCUUUAGACCAGAGCCUUCCCUCAAGAUAUCAUAGCCACUAAAGGUCCAGGGCCCGGCUGACAUUUCACCGAGCCCUUGAUAUUCAGCUUCCCGUGAAAGAGUACAGCCCCGGUCUGACCCAGACCUCAACGGCAGAAUGGAUACGGCCUGAUGGACUCUAUUCAGCAAAGCGGCUGUUUUUUCUUUCAAUUUCGACUGCUUCACUUCAAGAGAAGUUUCUUCCUAUGGCUGUCGAUGUCUCUGGAGUAAUAGAAAAUGCAAUGAAAUAGAGGAAAAUUGCUGCACAUUAGCAUACCUGUGUGAGCGGUAACACCUGGGUACAUCUGAGAUUCCUCAGAGAUGAGAUGGAGGGGUAAUGGCAGGCCGUUCUCACAGUAGGUGUACAUAUAUAAGUGAAGAUGUGAGAGGAUAGAGGGCUCUGCUCGUGAGGAUGAGAGGAACUUAAUCUGAACCACUUUCCCUCCUCCGGAGAGGAAGACAGAGUGAUGGAAUCACAGGGAAUGAGGAGAGAAAGGGAUCGAGAGAGGAUGGGAGAAGAGACGGGAUGUGGCUGCCAGUGAGUCUCAGUGGGGGAGCUGGGAAGGCAUUACACCUAUCGCUAUCUCUCUUUCUCACCCAA